rnacentral:rRNA from 1 species
ACAAGCGGCGGAGCAUGCGGAUUAAUUCGAUGCAACGCGAAGAACCUUACCAAGGCUUGACAUACACCGGUAACGCCCAGAGAUGGGUGCCCCUUUGUGGUCGGUGUACAGGUGGUGCAUGGUUGUCGUCAGCUCGUGUCGUGAGAUGUUGGGUUAAGUCCCGCAACGAGCGCAACCCUCGUCCUAUGUUGCCAGCGGGUCAUGCCGGGGACUCAUGGGAGACUGCCGGGGUCAACUCGGAGGAAGGUGGGGAUGACGUCAAAUCAUCAUGCCCCUUAUGUCUUGGGCUUCACGCAUGCUACAAUGGCCGGUACAAAGGGCUGCGAUACCGCGAGGUGGAGCGAAUCCCAGAAAGCCGGUCUCAGUUCGGAUUGGGGUCUGCAACUCGACCCCAUGAAGUCGGAGUCGCUAGUAAUCGCAGAUCAGCAACGCUGCGGUGAAUACGUUCCCGGGGCUU